ACCUCGCGGUAGACUGCCGUGGCGGGCGUCACGAGCCCGUAGUUGUCAUCACAGCCAGCGGCGCCCGCUGAGCCACCCAGGGCUCCCGGGAGAGAGGCGCUGCAAGAGCCGCCGGAGGUGCCCGAGCCCCCAUCGCCAGAGCGGCCUUCGCUGACCAAGUCGAGGACGAGGAACUUCUGGAGUGCCAUGGUGACCUUGAAGGUGACAAUGACAUCAUCCAUUCCUGGAAUAUUGUGACAGCUCCCACGUGACAGAGUGAAAGCGGUCCACCAGAUCCACCCCCCUCCCCCCCAGAGGGCAGGAUGCUUACAGAAGGAUCAGACAAUACAGUGCAGACAAUUCCAGUGGGUAGCAAGUGUGGAGAGGCACCAAACUGGGCCACAGACUUACAAGGUGACCCUAAGUAAAUGGACAGGUGUGGAACGAACUGUGAGAAGUUGGGCCUGGAGAGAUGGCUCAGCAGUUAAGAGCACUGACUGCUCUUCCAGAAGACCUGAGUUCAAUUCCCAGCAACGUGACUCACAACUAUCUGAAAUGGAAUCAGACACCUUCUAAUGGUCACCUGAACUGCAGGUGGAUGUGUGCCAAAGACAGAAGACAAACCUCUUCAGUGUCACUGUCUAUGACAGCCCUACAUCCUUUAGUGGUGAGUUAAGGGGACAUGGUAUAAUGCAUUCCUGCAACAGAGUUCCACCUGUGUGUGAACACUCAAUACCAUGGACCAGUGGUGACACAUGGAUAGCGGAUGACCACGUAGUGGCUGUCAUUUGUCUUUAUAAAGCAGUCUAUGUGACUCGGACUCGUGGAGUGGUGGCAUAUGCAGUGUCGGGGACACAGGAGGAACGCUUUCCUCAGAACGCCAGUUACACAUGUUUUCUUAACUUGAGUGGAGGUGGGAGGCAGGUGUGUUCUCUUGGGAACUCUUCCAACUGUGCACUUCAGUGCACUUCUUGAGUGUUGAUUUUACAUAUUUUUAAUAAAAAAAAGUUUGAAAGUA
rnacentral:lncRNA from 1 species